AUUGAACGCUGGCGGCAGGCCUAACACAUGCAAGUCGAGCGGAUGAGGAAAGCUUGCUUUUCGAUUCAGCGGCGGACGGGUGAGUAAUGCCUACGAAUCUGCCUGUUAGUGGGGGAUAACUCGGGGAAACUCGGGCUAAUACCGCAUACGUCCUACGGGAGAAAGUGGGGGAUCUUCGGACCUCACGCUAACAGAUGAGCCUAGGUCGGAUUAGCUAGUAGGUGAGGUAAUGGCUCACCUAGGCGGCGAUCCGUAACUGGUCUGAGAGGAUGAUCAGUCACACUGGAACUGAGACACGGUCCAGACUCCUACGGGAGGCAGCAGUGGGGAAUAUUGGACAAUGGGCGAAAGCCUGAUCCAGCCAUGCCGCGUGUGUGAAGAAGGUCUUCGGAUUGUAAAGCACUUUAAGUUGGGAGGAAGGGUAUUCACCUAAUACGUGGGUACUUUGACGUUACCAACAGAAUAAGCACCGGCUAACUCUGUGCCAGCCGCCGCGUAACAC
rnacentral:rRNA from 1 species